UAACCAUCAGUAAAGGGUUUCACAUAGACUUUAACCAUCAGUAAAGGGUUUCUCAUAGACCUUAACCAUCAGUAAAGGGUUUCUCAUAGACCUUAACCAUCAGUAAAGGAUUUCUCAUAGACUUUAACCAUCAGUAAAGGGUUUCUCAUAGACCUUAACCAUCAGUAAAGGGUUUCUCAGACUUUAACCAUCAGUACAGGGUUUCUCAUAGACCUUAACCAUCAGUAAAGGGUUUCUCAUAGACCUUAACCAUCAGUAAAGGGUUUCUCAUAGACCUUAACCAUCAGUAAAGGGUUUCUCAUAGACCUUAACCAUCAGUUAAGGGUUUCUCAUAGACCUUAACCAUCAGUAAAGGGUUCCUCGCUCUGUAGUCUUGUCCCACCACUCCACAUUGACCAUCUGUCCCUACACUCAUAAGAAUGUUCAUGGACAUGGUCUGGGCGUCAGUUGGUUGGUUAUUGUUCAGGACAUUGUUCUUUUCUACUGCUUUUCCACCAUAUGAAAAACAGGCAAAUAUUGUAUCUAAAGUCUAUUUAAAUAAUUACUACCCAUGACAGUUGGUACUUAUGAUUAACAUAAAUUAAGAACUUAAUAACCUUUGAUCCAUGACCUAAGUUUAAUAAAAUAUACAUUUCAGCAUAUUAUCUACUGAUAAACUGGAUGAUUAAUUGCAUAUGGAAAUAUGUAGGUCAAGCUCAAUAAAUAAUAAAUCAAUGCGUCGUACAACGGAUGUAGUCUUUGUAUACUUUAUGUAGCUUUCCACGUCAUGUACAAUGUGACCAAUAGCUUUUACAGAGAUAGAAAAGUUCAUUUAGCUAUAGCCCCACACAAGGGGCAGUAGUAGGUAAUAUUCUGCCCUGAGAUCAGGGGUCAUAUCUUACAAACACAUAGAAAAACUACUGGAUUCAACUUCAUCAGUCAGCAUUAUAGUUCGGACAUCAUCAUUUUCAUCAUCAAUAUUACUGCCACCCAUAUCCUAUUCAUCCUCAACAUCUGCCUUAUCAUCAUCAUCAAUAUUACUGCCACCCAUAUCCUAUUCAUCCUCAACAUCUGCCUUAUCAUCAUCAUCAAUAUUACUGCCACCCAUAUCCUAUUCAUCCUCAACAUCUGCCUUAUCAUCAUCACCAUCAUCAUCAGUAUUACUGCCUCCCAUAUCCUAUUCAUCCUCAACAUCUGCCUUAUCAUCAUCAUCAAUAUUACUGCCACCCAUAUCCUAUUCAUCCUCAACAUCUGCCUUAUCAUCAUCAUCAAUAUUACUGCCACCCAUAUCCUAUUCAUCCUCAACAUCUGCCUUAUCAUCAUCACCAUCAUCAUCAGUAUUACUGCCUCCCAUAUCCUAUUCAUCCUCAACAUCUGCCUUAUCACCAUCAUCACCUUAUCAUCAUCAUCAAUAUUACUACCACCCAUAUCCUAUUCAUCCUCAACAUCUGCCUUAUCAUCAUCAUCCAUAUUACUACCACCCAUAUCCUAUUCAUCCUCAACAUCUGCCUUAUCAUCAUCAAUAUUACUACCACCCAUAUCCUAUUCAUCCUCAACAUCUGCCUUAUCAUCAUCAUCAAUAUUACUGCCUCCCAUAUCCUAUUCAUCCUCAUCAUCUGCCUUAUCAUCAUCAUCAUCAAUAUUACUACCACCCAUUUCCUAUUCAUCCUCAACAUCUGCCUUAUCAUCAUCACCAUCAUCAUCAAUAUUACUACCACCCAUAUCCUAUUCAUCCACAUCAUCACCCUCAUUGCCAUCAUUAUCAUCCUCAUUCCUGCUGGAAAUGGACUUUUCCUGACAUCACGUUAUAUAGUAUUUGUUUAUGA
rnacentral:lncRNA from 1 species